CUCCUUUCAACCACCACUCCUUUUACAUAGUUCCUUGGACCUAUUUUUCCUCGAUUUUAUAGAAACAUUUGUGGUUGUGUGAAUUUCGUCCAUUUCGGUGCCUAUUUCCUAUCCUUUCUUCCAUAUCCCUCCUCUCUCCACCAAAAGUCCUACUACUACCACCAGAAAACUAUCCACCACACAAAAUCCCACUACUCCCUCCUUACUUCUCCUUAUUCAA
rnacentral:lncRNA from 1 species